ACUUCUUUAGCUUAAUGGUAAAAGUAUGUGCCUUCGGAGUAUAGGUUAUUGGUUCGAUUCCGAUAAGAUGUU
rnacentral:tRNA from 1 species